rnacentral:rRNA from 1 species
GUAAAGUGGCGCACGGGUGAGUAACGCGUGGGUAAUCUUCCUUCGGGACAGGGAUAACACCCCGAAAGGGGUGCUAAUACCAGAUACGAUGCGGACUUCGGAAGGAGUUCGCAUGAAAGGUGACCUCUUCCUUGAAAGUUGCCGCUCGAAGAUGAGCCUGCGUCCCAUUAGCUCGUUGGUAGGGUAAUGGCCUACCAAGGCGAAGAUGGGUAGCUGGUCUGAGAGGACGAUCAGCCACACUGGAACUGAGACACGGUCCAGACUCCUACGGGAGGCAGCAGUGGGGAAUAUUGCGCAAUGGGGGAAACCCUGACGCAGCAACGCCGCGUGAGUGAUGAAGGCCUUCGGGUCGUAAAGCUCUGUCAGGUGGGAAGAAGACGGCAAUCUUCAACACGGAUUGUCCAUGACGGUACCACCAGAGGAAGCACCGGCUAACUCCGUGCCAGCAGCCGCGCGUAAUACGGAGGGUGCAAGCGUUGUUCGGAAUCACUGGGCGUAAAGCGCGUGUAGGCGGCCCACUAAGUCAGGUGUGAAAUCCCUUCGCUCAACUAAGGAAUUGCAUCUGAAACUGGUAGGCUUGAGUACGGGAGAGGAGAGUGGAAUCCCGGUGUAGAGGUGAAAUUCGUAGAUAUCGGGAAGAACACCGGUGGCGAAGGCGGCUCUCUGGACCGAUACUGACGCUGAGACGCGAAAGCGUGGGGAGCAAACAGGAUUAGAUACCCUGGUAGUCCACGCCGUAAACGAUGGGCACUAGGUGUGGAGGGUAUUGACCCCCUCUGUGCCGUAGCUAACGCAUUAAGUGCCCCGCCUGGGAAGUACGGCCGCAAGGCUAAAACUCAAAGGAAUUGACGGGGGCCCGCACAAGCGGUGGAGCAUGUGGUUCAAUUCGACGCAACGCGCAGAACCUUACCUGGGUUUGACAUCCCUUGACCGCCAUGGAAACAUGGUUUUCCCUUCGGGGACGGGGUGACAGGUGCUGCAUGGCUGUCGUC